CAUCGCCUCUUGCAUAACCACAGUAUAAGAGGUCCCGCCUGCCCAGUGACAACUUAGUUCAACGGCCGCGGUAUUUUGACCGUGCAAAGGUAGCGUAAUCACUUGUCUUUUAAAUGAAGACCUGUAUGAAUGGCAUAACGAGGGCUUAACUGUCUCCUUCCCCUGGUCAAUGAAAUUGAUCCCCCCGUGCAGAAGCGGGGAUAAAACCAUAAGACGAGAAGACCCUAUGGAGCUUUAGACACACAGGUGGACCAUGUCAAACACCCCCAGCUAAGGGCCUGAACUAAAUGGAACCUGCCUUGAUGUCUUCGGUUGGGGCGACCAUGGGGAAUACAAAACCCCCACGUGGAAAGGGAGCACACCCCUAAGUUACUUCUUCUCCCGCAAGCCAGAGCAACAGCUCUAACAAGCAGAAAUUCUGACCAAACUGAUCCGGUAAAACCGAUCAACGAACCAAGUUACCCUAGGGAUAACAGCGCAAUCCCCUUUUAGAGCCCAUAUCGACAAGGGGGUUUACGACCUCGAUGUUGGAUCAGGACAUCCUAAUGGUGCAGCCGCUAUUAAGGGUUCGUUUGUUCAACGAUUAAAGUCCUA
rnacentral:rRNA from 1 species